rnacentral:misc_RNA from 1 species
ACGAGGUUCGUGUUCCGCGCGAAGGUGACCACCCAGCGGAUCCGCCUGUCGCUGGUGCCGGAGACGGCGCCCGACUUCGUGCGCAACGUGACGGCAACGAUCCUCGGUCUGCGCGGUGACUCGCUACCGGUCAGCGCCCUCCCCGUGGACGGCACCUAUCCGACGGGGACGGCGCGGUACGAAAAGCGCAAUAUCGCCGACGAGGUGCCGGUGUGGGAAUCCGACCUCUGCAUCCAGUGCGGACAGUGCGCCAUUGUCUGUCUCCACAGCGUGAUUCGAUCCAAAUACUACGACGAGAGCCGCCUGGAGGGAGCGCCGGCCGCGUUCAAGGCGGCGCCGAUCAACGCCCGCGGCUAUCCCGACUCGCGCUUCACCCUGCAGGUCUACGUCGAGGACUGCACGGGAUGCGGUGUCUGCGUGGAGAAUUGCCCGGCCCACAGCCCGACCGAUUUCGCCGUCAAGGCGAUUAACAUGAAGGACCGGCUGCAGCACCUCGAGGCCGGCCGAGAGAGCAUCAGCUUCUUCGAGACGCUGCCGUGGGCCGAUCGCACGCGCGUGAACUUCGCCAACGUGCGCGGCGUGCAGUUUCUCGAGCCGCUAUUCGAAUUCUCGGGCGCGUGCGCCGGCUGUGGCGAGACGCCUUAUCUCAAGCUGAUCUCGCAGUUGUUCGGCGAUCGGCUGCAGAUUGCCAAUGCGACCGGGUGCUCGUCGAUUUACGGGCGCCAAUCUCCCGACCACGCCGUGGGCCGCCAACGCUGACGGCCGAGGGCCGGCGUGGGCGAACUCGCUGUUCGAGGACAACGCCGAGUUCGCCUCGGCUACCGGCCUCGCCGUCGACACCCAGACCGCACAGGCGCGUACGCUCGCCAAGAAGCUCGCGACACGCCUCGGCGAGGACCUGGUCACCGCGAUCCUGCAGGCGCCGCAGGUCACCGAGUCGGAUUUUCGCGUCCAGCGCGAGCGCGUCGCCGUGCUGAAAGCGAAGCUGUCGGGCGCGACCGAUGCCGACGCGAUCAACCUGCUCUCGGUGGUCGACUUUCUCGUCCGGCGAUCGGUGUGGAUCAUCGGCGGCGAUGGCUGGGCGUACGACAUCGACUACGGUGGUCUCGACCACGUCCUCGCGACCGGAAGAGACGUCAACAUCCUGGUACUCGACACCGAGGUCUAUUCGAACACGGCGGACAGGCGUCGAAGGCGACGCCGCUUGGCGCCUCGG